rnacentral:lncRNA from 1 species
GGGGGAGGGUUGGGAUCCCGCUAACAUGUUUAACCCCGCCACAUUAUUUAUGUAUGUGCCUGUCCCAAGUCAGGAGCCUGUAAUUCAGUGGUUGUCGUUUGUUUAUGUGUUACAUAUUUGUUUUUCGUUCUUUUUUUGUACAUAAAUAAGGCCGUUAGUUUUCUCGUUUGAUUUGUUUUACAUUGUCUUAUCGGGGCCUUUUAUAG